UAUGGAAGGCAGCAGUGGGGAAUAUUGCACAAUGGGCGCAAGCCUGAUGCAGCCAUGCCGCGUGUAUGAAGAAGGCCUUCGGGUUGUAAAGUACUUUCAGUCGUGAGGAAGGUGUUAAGGUUAAUAACCUUAGCAAUUGACGUUAGCGACAGAAGAAGCACCGGCUAACUCCGUGCCAGCAGCCGCGGUAAUACGGAGGGUGCGAGCGUUAAUCGGAAUUACUGGGCGUAAAGGGCACGCAGGCGGUUAAUUAAGUUGGAUGUGAAAUCCCCGGGCUUAACCUGGGAAUGGCAUUCAAGACUGGUUAGCUAGAGUCUUGUAGAGGGGGUAGAAUUCCAUGUGUAGCGGUGAAAUGCGUAGAGAUGUGGAGGAAUACCGGGUGGCGAAGGCGGCCCCUGGGACAAAGGACUGACGCUCAUGUGCGAAAGCGUGGGGAGCAAACAGGGAUUAGAUAC
rnacentral:rRNA from 1 species